rnacentral:rRNA from 1 species
UGGGGAAUAUUGCACAAUGGGCGCAAGCCUGAUGCAGCAACGCCGCGUGAGGGAUGACGGCCUUCGGGUUGUAAACCUCUUUAGCAGGGAAGAAGCGAAAGUGACGGUACCUGCAGAAAAAGCACCGGCUAACUACGUGCCAGCAGCCGCGGUAAUACGUAGGGUGCAAGCGUUGUCCGGAAUUAUUGGGCGUAAAGAGCUCGUAGGCGGUCUGUCGCGUCUGCUGUGAAAUCCCGAGGCUCAACCUCGGGCCUGCAGUGGGUACGGGCAGACUAGAGUGCGGUAGGGGAGAAUGGAACUCCUGGUGUAGCGGUGGAAUGCGCAGAUAUCAGGAAGAACACCGAUGGCGAAGGCAGUUCUCUGGGCCGUAACUGACGCUGAGGAGCGAAAGCGUGGGGAGCGAACAGGAUUAGAUACCCUGGUAGUCCACGCCGUAAACGUUGGGCGCUAGAUGUGGGACCAUUCCACGGUUUCCGUGUCGCAGCUAACGCAUUAAGCGCCCCGCCUGGGGAGUACGGCCGCAAGGCU